rnacentral:rRNA from 1 species
GAUGAACGCUGGCGGCGUGCCUAAUACAUGCAAGUCGAGCGAACAGGCGCGGCGCUUGCUCCUCUGACGUUAGCGGCGGACGUGUGAGUAACACGUGUAUCCCCCCCUUAUAAUACUGAGAUAACUUCGGGAAACCGGAUCUAAUCCCGUAUAAUAUAUUGAACCGUGUGGUUCAAUAGUAAAAUACGGCUUUUCUGUCUCUUAUCGAGGCUUCCGGGCCGCAUUAGAUAGUUGGUACGGUAACGGCCUACCAAGGCAGCGAUGCGUAGCCGACCUAAGAGGGUGGUCGCCGACCUGAGAACGUAACCGCGGACCAGGCUCCUACGAGAGGCAGCAGUCGCGAACGGUCCGCAACGGUCGAGAGCCUGACGGAGCGACGCGACGUGUGAGACGAAAGUCUUGGGAUCGUAAAGCCCUGUUUUUAGGUAAGAACAAAUGUCGAAGUAAACAUGCCCUGAUUGACGGUACCGAAUAAGAAAGCAACGGCUAACUACGUG